AGAGUUUGAUCCUGGCUCAGGACGAACGCUGGCGGCGUGCCUAACACAUGCAAGUCGAGUGGAGACAGUGAGUAGCUUGCUAUGAGCUGUUUUAGCGGCGGACGGGUGAGUAACGCGUGAGCAACCUUUCCCAGACAGGGGAAUAACACACCGAAAGGUGUACUAAUACCGCAUAAGACCACGGGAUCACAUGGUUCUGGGGUAAAAAGAUUUUAUCGGUUUGGGGUGGGCUCGCGUCCGAUUAGGUAGUUGGUGAGGUAACCGG
rnacentral:rRNA from 1 species